GAUGAACGCUGGCGGCGUGCUUAACACAUGCAAGUCGAGCGAGAUUAUUCUUCGGAAUAGUCUAGCGGCGGACGGGUGAGUAACAUGUGGGCAACCUGCCUUGUAGAGGGGGAUAGCCUUCCGAAAGGAAGAUUAAUACCGCAUAACGCUAUUGAAAGGCAUCUUUCGAUAAUCAAAGGAGCAAUCCGCUACAAGAUGGGCCCGCGGCGCAUUAGCUAGUUGGUGAGGUAACGGCUCACCAAGGCGACGAUGCGUAGCCGACCUGAGAGGGUGAUCGGCCACAUUGGGACUGAGACACGGCCCAGACUCCUACGGGAGGCAGCAGUGGGGAAUAUUGCACAAUGGGGGAAACCCUGAUGCAGCAACGCCGCGUGAGUGAUGACGGCCUUCGGGUUGUAAAGCUCUGUCUUUGGGGACGAUAAUGACGGUACCCAAGGAGGAAGUCACGGCUAACUACGUGCCAGCCGCCGCGGUAA
rnacentral:rRNA from 1 species